rnacentral:rRNA from 1 species
UGGGGAAUAUUGCGCAAUGGGCGAAAGCCUGACGCAGCUACGCCGCGUGAGUGAUGAAGGCCUUCGGGUUGUAAAGCUCUGUCGGGAGGGAAGAAGGGGCAACCCUGACGGUACCUCGCAAGAAAGCACCGGCUAACUCUGUGCCAGCAGCCGCGGUAAUACAGAGGGUGCAAGCGUUGCUCGGAUUUACUGGGCGUAAAGCGUACGCAGACGGCCACGCAGGUCGGGUGUGAAAGCCCCGGGCUCAACCCGGGAAUUGCAUUCGAAACCAUGUGGCUCGAGUGUGGGAGAGGAAAGUGGAAUUCCUGGUGUAGAGGUGAAAUUCGUAGAUAUCAGGAGGAACACCGGCGGCGAAGGCGGCUUUCUGGUCCACAACUGACGUUCAGGUACGAAAGCGUGGGGAGCAAACAGGAUUAGAUACCCAAGUAGUCCCUGAGCGGGCUGGCAAGGCGCAU